ACGAACGUUUGAAAAAUGUGGCGUUUAGGAGGUCGCGUGCCGAGGUCAGACUCUGCAGCAAGUCCCCCUGACCGGGGCUGUUACCCAGAGUGGGUGCGAGGCCCAUAGUUGCUAAGUCUGCCUUGGAUGUGACCUCUUGGGAGUCGGGUUGCUUGGGAGUGCAACUCUAAUUGGGUGGUAAACUCCACCUAAGACUAAAUACGGCCGUGAGACCGAUAGCAAACAAGUACCGUGAGGGAAAGUUGCAAAGAACUUUGAAGAGAGAGUUCAAGAGUACGUGAAACUGCUCAGAGGCAAACGGAUGGGCCCUCGAAAUCCUCUGGCAGGGGGAUUCAGUUAGGAAAGGCUCAGGUGGUGUGUGGCUUAAGCGGACCCUGUCUGGGGCCGAGUCAUCGCCAUGGUCUGAUCCUUACCUGACGCAUUUCUUCCUGCACUAAGGACGCCGCAUCCACUUGGGUAGCUGCGUGAGUCGGCCAUGAGGACAAGCACUGGAAGGUGGCCAGUGGCAUUGCUCCGUGCCGCUGGUUGUUAGCCGGUUUGUCCGUGGAACGACACCCGAGUGAGGUUGAAUUGUUCCCGCAUGGGAACUAGCCGUCCCCUUCGGAGUGGACGCUGGCAGGUGUUUCGCAGUGUUGCUUGUUCACUCUUGUAGUGUCUGGCACUCUGUGUUCUCAGGUGGGGUGCAAUGGCUAGCGGCGAGUGAGUCGGUCACCCAUCCGACCCGUCUUGAAACACGGACCAAGGAGUCUAACAUGUGCGCGAGUCACGGGGUCUUGAUUAGGCCCAGAGGCGCAAUGAAAGUGACAGUAGGCCCUCGUUUGGUCGCGUUGGGAUCUCCUGUCCUUUGUGGCAAGAGAGCACCAACGAUCCGUCCUAUCCGAUUUAUCGGUUGGCCGGAAUUGGAGCGUACACGUUGGGACCCGAAAGAUGGUGAACUAUGCCUGGGCAGGACGAAGCCAGAGGAAAC
rnacentral:rRNA from 1 species